AUUGAACGCUGGCGGAAUGCUUUACACAUGCAAGUCGAACGGCAGCACGGACUUCGGUCUGGUGGCGAGUGGCGAACGGGUGAGUAAUGUAUCGGAACGUGCCCAGUCGUGGGGGAUAACGUAGUGAAAAUUACGCUAAUACCGCAUACGAUCUAUGGAUGAAAGCGGGGGAUCGCAAGACCUCGCGCGAUUGGAGCGGCCGAUAUCAGAUUAGGUAGUUGGUGGGGUAAAGGCCCACCAAGCCAACGAUCUGUAGCUGGUCUGAGAGGACGACCAGCCACACUGGAACUGAGACACGGUCCAGACUCCGACGGGAGGCAGCAGUGGGGAAGUUUGGACAAUGGGCGAAAGCCUGAUCCAGCCAUUCCGCGUGCAGGAUGAAGGCCCUCUGGUUGUAAACUGCUUUUGUACAGAACGAAAAGGUUUCUACUAAUACUAGGAGCUCAUGACGGUACUGUAAGAAUAAGCACCGGCUAACUACGUGCCAGCAGCCGCAGUAA
rnacentral:rRNA from 1 species